rnacentral:tRNA from 1 species
GGAUAUAGCUCAGUUGGUAGAGUGCUUGCCUUGCAUGUGCAAGGCCCUGGGUUCAAUCCCCAGCACCA